rnacentral:rRNA from 1 species
GAUGAACGCUGGCGGCGUGCCUAAUACAUGCAAGUCGAACGAAGCGAGGACGGGUGCGUAACACGUGGAUAACCUCCUCUAAGUAUGCGAUAACUUCGGGAAACCGGUGCUAAACCGGCUACUUAUGGAUGGAUCAGCGAUGAGUUGCUAGUUGGUAAGGGAACGGCUUACCAAGGCAACGAUGCAUAGCCGACCUGAGAGGGUGAUCGGCCACACUGGAACUGAGAAACGGUCCAGACUCCUACGGGAGGCAGCAGUAGGGAAUCUUCCGCAAUGGGCGAAAGCCUGACGGAGCAACGCCGCGUGAGUGAAGAAGGUCUUCGGAUCGUAAAACUCUGUUAUUAGGGAAGCGGUACCUAAUCAGAAAGCCACGGCUAACUACGUGCCAGCAGCCGCGGUAAUUC